GCUACAAUAAAAUGAAAACUCAAUUUAAAAAAUUAUUCAUUGUUAAUCAAACUUUUUUUUUUUACUUUUAAAGAAAAAUAAAAAAAAGAAGUAUUAAAUCACUCAAUUUUUAUAACUAAAUAAACAAGAUAUUUUUUUUGUACAAUCAUUUUUAUAAAAGCUUAGUAUUAACAACAUAACUUUUACAAUCAUCAAACAAUACACAAAAUGUGAAAUUUCAAAAAGUAAAUAUAAUUAAAAAAAAAAACACUAUGAUCAGUAUUGCGGUUUUAUUACAUUUCGAGUUGGAUCAUUUAACUUCAAAGAAACACGAAGCUCUUAAACUUGGGUGCAUGUUGAAAAAAAGUUUAUUUAUCCGCGUUCGGUUCAUUUCGUCUUUUUAUAUGAAGCAUUUAUGUUGAAUUUCGUAAAUCUAAAGUGUAUGCAAGAUUCCAGCUCGAUACAAAGUGGCUCAAAACUGAGUUCAAAGAUUUAUAGCAAAAGAAAGGAGAACAGAAAACAAGACAUACUAAGUAAAUUAAAAGCUCAAAGAAAUAUAAGUAACUAGAAAAAGUUGUUAAUUUUUAAAAUUAGCGUCCAAACUUUAAAAAUCAACAAAUUAAUAAGUUAUAAGUCGUAUAACUCAUCUCUUUGUUUGAUAAAUUGAUUUUAGAAUUUUUGGAAAUUAUUUUGUGAAUAUAUGAUCAGACACAUUAUUAAAAAUUAAAAAAAAAAAGUAAAUCAAACUAAAUUUUACAGAAUUUUACGAAAAUUAAAAAGCUUGGCGACAAACCACACAAAUAGGACUGUACAUUACGUGUAUUUUAUAUAUAAAAUUACGCUGGCGUAGCGUUCUCUUAACGAAUUGAAUACCAUUAACUACUUAACCGAAAUUUUUUACUGCUACUGAAAUUGUAAGAUAACCUUGAAGAAGUACUUAAAUUAAUAUACAUUUCUUAUUAUACUAUCUGACGAGCAUUGUUAUUUUUAAUUGAAAAAAGCCGAAUAUAGUGGACCGCAAUUGGAUGGUCGUAAGUAAAAAGGGAGUAGAUCAACUUUAGAUAUACUAAGAGAAUAUAAAAAACGCUCAGGUUACUAGUUAAGAUUUCAAUUACCCACAGAUAUGUUAUGUAAAUAAUUAAAUAAUUGAAAUAUUCCAACAAAUUAAAUAAUUAACCAAAUUAAUAUGUUUAUAAUAUAACUAAAUUACCCAUAAGCUUUAAAUAUCAGUUUAAAAAAACAAAAAUAAAAGAUGAUAUAAAAUUGUCGAAGCUAUUAUAACGAAGCCAUUGGAUGAUGCCUACAAAAAUAAUUAUAUGUAAAUGUAAUAUAUUAUAUAUUUAAAAAAAAAAAAGCGAAUCAAAACUAAAACGUCCUCAAAUUUACCAUUCAACUUUUAUAACUAUUCUAUAUACUCAGGCAGCAAAUAUUCAUACAAACUUCCUUCGAUUAAAACCAUCAACGAAUAUUAUCUCUCUUUUUUCUAAAGAAACAAAAAAAAGCCUAAUUUUUUAAUUAUUGAGAUUUAUUAUAAAAUCACUUAUAAUCAUACACUAAGCAUAUAAUUAUCACAUAAUGCAAAAAAACUGUUUAGUUAAAACUCUAAACGAUAUUAAUUUAUUUAUA